UACGUAGGGGGCAAGCGUUGUCCGGAUUCAUUGGGCGUAAAGAGCUCGUAGGCGGUUUGUCGCGUCUGCUGUGAAAACUCGGGGCUUAACUCCGGGCCUGCAGUGGGUACGGGCAGACUAGAGUGCGGUAGGGGAGACUGGAAUUCCUGGUGUAGCGGUGAAAUGCGCAGAUAUCAGGAGGAACACCGGUGGCGAAGGCGGGUCUCUGGGCCGUAACUGACGCUGAGGAGCGAAAGCGUGGGGAGCGAACAGG
rnacentral:rRNA from 1 species